GACGAACGCUGGCGGCGUGCUUAACACAUGCAAGUCGAACGGAUUGCUUGGUGCUUGCACUGAGUGGUUAGUGGCGAACGGGUGAGUAACACGUGAGUAACCUGCCCCCUUCUUUGGGAUAAGCACCUGAAAGGGUGUCUAAUACUAAUUAUUCUGCUGGAAUCGCAUGGUUUUGGUUGGAAAGGUUUUUCUGGUGGGGGAUGGGCUCGCCGGCUUAUCAGCUUGUUGGUGGGGUAAUGGCUUACCAAGGCUUUGACGGGUAACCGGCCUGAGAGGGCGACCGGUCACAUUGGGACUGAGAUACGGCCCAGACUCCUACGGGAGGCAGCAGUGGGGAAUAUUGCACAAUGGACGAAAGUCUGAUGCAGCGACGCCGCGUGAGGGAUGAAGGCAUUCGGGUUGUAAACCUUUUUCGCUUUUGACCAAGGCAGCAUUUUGGUGUUGUUGAGGGUAUGAGGUAAAGAAGCUCCGGCUAACUACGUGCCAGCCGCCGCCGUAACAC
rnacentral:rRNA from 1 species